GUUUGGGUCGCAACCGGCUUAGCGCGUCGUUUGCCCAAGCUGACAACAAACCAAGAUAAGAUAAUUAGUUCCAAGGCUUUCGACGGAUGAAUUAAAGAGCGGGAUGGCUGUCUGUUCUCAUCAAGACACUGACUGAUUGCAUAGAAACCAAAAUCAUCAUCUGUGCGUAUCGAGAAAAGCUUAUGCGGUGAACGGAUUAAAGAUGGAAAGACGACCACAUUAUUGAAUACGUUGACUUACCAGCAAAUCGUACCUUUCCUAUGAUAAAGCACGUAUCGUGGCUACAAAUAAGCAGAUCCUACACAGCGUUUGUAGGCUGAACGCGUGCCAAUCAGACUUGGAAACGUUGCGGAUUAAGGAGGCCAAUGUACACUCACACAUAUCAGCUACUGCACAUGAAGUGCGGUCUGUCGGUUCAACAAUUAGCGGACUCGGUGCUCGAUUGAAAUCCUUUAGGUAAGUAAAGCAUUGUUCAAUACAGAAUAACCAAAAGACCUUAAUGCGGUUGAGAACGAUGGAUUUGCUUGUUUGUUUCAUUUUUUUUUUGUUCAUAUGUUUUUGUAGACUUAAUCGGCUAAAGUUUAAAAAGAUCGGCAAUCAAACAAAGCUAAGUAUCGAGAAAGAACAAUAAUAUGUAUAUAUAUAUAUAUACACUCAACUAUCAGCCCAAUACCGCGCCAAAUUUUGGUAUUUUCAAGUGUUCUUCGCUUCAAGCUAUUUCGCUUAUAUAGCCCUGUACAUAACAAUAUAUGGCAAGACGUAUUGGCAAUACGUUUGCAAAUAGUUUUCGAUUUCGGUGGUCCAAUAGCUAUUCUAGUAGCUACUAAACAAAAUGCAGCACAUGGUUGCCUCUAGGACAGUUAGCAAAACUGCUCAUAUCGACCUCUUUCUGAAUGGCUCAAUAAAUAGCUUAUUACUAGCUUGGUCCAGAAAAGAGCCUAUUGCCUGCGACGUAUCAGGCUAAUGAAUAAUGUUGACAUUGUGUCGCUUUGAUUGUGUUUAUUACGAUGCCUUCCUCGGCAUCGAGCGCCUACCAACAGGGGGGAAAAAACCCCUCGCACAAAGGUCAGUCUCUUAUUGCGUUCAGAUUUGUUACAGCUGAAGUCGGCCAUAUACACAAAAUUAUUUUUUGAGACACUGAUUAAAAAUGCGUAUAUAUACUAUGUCGAUUCGUCUGAUAAGGCUCCGAAAGCCAUUUGAUACUUUUGCAGAAACCUCAAGUGCUAGGGCUUCAUGACCAUGACAAGUAUCUAUCGACGGCAUGAAAAUUUGUGACUUCGGAUGUUUACCUUCAGCAACUAAAGAACGGCUUUCAUUCUUCAUAGGCUUCGAGACACUGUAGUGAAGUUGAUACAGGCUGAACUGUUGUUACGCUACGGCAGAGAGAAGUAACGAUCUAGAAUAAUGCUCGUCAACACGGUCGGCUUUUAUUUAAUUUAUAGAUUACUCGAAAUCGAUGUAUUUUCUCUAUUACACUGCAAUGCAGUGAAUUAUUACGCCUAACCCUUUUAUAGUUUAGCCCAUGAAGCUAUGGAUACUCUACAUUAUUUUUAAUGCUACUAACAAAGGAACAUUUGGUUUGUAAGUACUAUACUCGACUGCCUGUUAAAUAAAUGAGCGGUCUCUCAUAUUUUGGACGUGUACUAUCGCUGUGAAUAGCAUACCAUUUUCUCUUCGUAGAAUUCCGUUUUGGGCCUUAAAACGUAACAGAUAUUGACAUAUUGGUAUUAUACAUGAUUUACGAACUCAGGCUCAAUUUCGUUCAGGCAUCGCCUACUGUUAGAAAUGUGCCGGUAACUUGGUGCUAGGGACAAUUGACAUUGAGACCUGCCAUAGUUUUUCCACACAUACAAUUGCCCAAUACUUUCCAGUCUCAAAAAAAGAAUCCUAAAUGCUAAAUAAAUGAGAAAACAUAAUAGUUUUCUGUGGUAAAAAAAUAUUUUUUCCGAUGGAUCUGCACAAAAACGCUCGAAACACUUUGCAAAAAUAAAUUACAAUUUAAAAAAUAUUGAAUAUUAGCUAGUUAGGUGUAGUUUAGUUGAAUCUGAACAUCUAGCUACUCUAACAAUUUUUUGAAAUUAUAUAGCUCUUAUGUAGCUAUACACACUUGCGUAGGACGUGCAAUGUUAAGCCAGGAUGAAUACCUAUAAAGCAUAGCCCUUGCAUUAUAGAAUAUAGAAGAAGACA